GCCUACGGGCGCAGCAGUGAGGAAUAUUGGUCAAUGGGCGGAAGCCUGAACCAGCCAAGUCGCGUGAGGGAUUAAGGCCCUAUGGGUCGUAAACCUCUUUUGUCAGGGAGCAAUGGCGUCCACGUGUGGGCGUAUGGAGAGUACCUGAAGAAAAAGCAUCGGCUAACUCCGUGCCAGCAGCCGCGGUAAUACGGAGGAUGCGAGCGUUAUCCGGAUUUAUUGGGUUUAAAGGGUGCGUAGGCGGAAGGUUAAGUCAGCGGUCAAAUGUCGGUGCUCAACACCGGCCUGCCGUUGAAACUGGUCUU
rnacentral:rRNA from 1 species